GAUGAACGCUGGCGGCGUGCCUAACACAUGCAAGUCGAACGUUAGAGUGUAGCAAUAUGCUCGAAAGCCGCGAACGGGUGAGUAACACGUGGGUUACCUGCCCCGAUGACCGGGACAACCCGAGGAAACUCGGGCUAAUACCGGAUGUGCUCUUCGGAGGAAAGGAAGCUUCGGCCUCCGCAUCGGGAUGGGCCCGCGGCGCAUUAGCUAGUUGGUGGGGUAACGGCCUACCAAGGCGACGAUGCGUAGCUGGUCUGAGAGGACGAUCAGCCACACUGGAACUGAGACACGGUCCAGACUCCUACGGGAGGCAGCAGUGGGGAAUCUUGCGCAAUGCACGAAAGUGUGACGCAGCAACGCCGCGUGCGGGAAGAAGGUCUUCGGAUCGUAGACCGCUUUCAGUUGGGACGAGGGUCAGCUGGUGAAUAGCCAGUCUGACUGACGGUACCUUCAGAAGAAGCCCCGGCUAACUACGUGCCAGCCGCCGCAGUAACAC
rnacentral:rRNA from 1 species